GAAGAGUAAUAAAAUCCCUAGCCAUUUCUUUCACUGUCUUACUCGCUGGCAACUGCCACUGCAACCAGAGGGGCUUCAGGGAUUACCUCAGCUCAGUGGAAAGCGAAGGGUCAAAUCCUGGAGAAGGCGAAGGAAUGGAACUGCUUAUCUCGGAAAAUGAAGAGAAACUUAAUUGACUAGCUUGCCUAGGAUUAGGAUCCCUAUUUACCCAAGAGACUUAAAGGCUUGAAAGUAAAGAAACUGCGCUUGCCCUAGGAAAUCAAUACUUCACUAAACAUUAUAAAACUGCCUU
rnacentral:lncRNA from 1 species